AAAGAAAAGAAAAGAAAAGAAGAAAAAAAAUGAAAAUGAAAAUGAAAAUGAAGAUGAAGAUGGGGAAGAUCUUCUU
rnacentral:rRNA from 1 species